UACGUAGGGUGCAAGCGUUAUCCGGAAUUAUUGGGCGUAAAGAGCUCGUAGGUGGUUUGUCGCGUUGUUCGUGAAAACUCACAGCUUAACUGUGGGCGUGCGGGUGAUACGGGCAGACUGGAGUACUGCAGGGGAGACUGGAAUUCCUGGUGUAGCGGUGGAAUGCGCAGAUAUCAGGAGGAACACCGGUGGCGAAGGCGGGUCUCUGGGCAGUAACUGACGCUGAGGAGCGAAAGCGUGGGGAGCGAACAGG
rnacentral:rRNA from 1 species